rnacentral:rRNA from 1 species
GGAGGGCAAACCGAAGAGUUUACUCUUCGGGGUUGUAGGACUGCAAUGUGGACUCAAAGAUUAUAGAAGAAUGAUUUGGGAAGAUCAGCCAAAGAGAGUAAUAGCCUCGUAUUUAAAAUAGUCUUUGUACCUAGCAGUAUCCUGAGUACGGCGGGACACGUGAAAUCCCGUCGGAAUCUGGGAGGACCAUCUCCCAACCCUAAAUACUCCCUAGUGACCGAUAGUGAACCAGUACCGUGAGGGAAAGGUGAAAAGCACCCCGGGAGGGGAGUGAAAUAGAACCUGAAACCGUGUGCCUACAACAAGUUCGAGCCCGUUAAUGGGUGAGAGCGUGCCUUUUGUAGAAUGAACCGGCGAGUUACGUUAUGAUGCGAGGUUAAGUUGAAGAGACGGAGCCGUAGGGAAACCGAGUCUGAAUAGGGCGCCUUAGUAUCAUGACGUAGACCCGAAACCAUGUGACCUACCCAUGAGCAGGUUGAAGGUGCGGUAAGACGCACUGGAGGACCGAACCAGGGCACGUUGAAAAGUGCUUGGAUGACUUGUGGGUAGCGGAGAAAUUCCAAACGAACUUGGAGAUAGCUGGUUCUCUCCGAAAUAGCUUUAGGGCUAGCGUCGACAUUAGAGAUUCUUGGAGGUAGAGCACUGUUUGGGUGAGGGGUCCAUCCCGGAUUACCAAUCUCAGAUAAACUCCGAAUGCCAAUGAAUUAUGGUCGGCAGUCAGACUGCGAGUGCUAAGAUCCGUAGUCGAAAGGGAAACAGCCCAGACCACCAGCUAAGGUCCCAAAAUAAUUGUUAAGUGGAAAAGGAUGUGGGGUUGCACAGACAACUAGGAUGUUAGCUUAGAAGCAGCUAUUCAUUCAAAGAGUGCGUAAUAGCUCACUAGUCGAGUGACCCUGCGCCGAAAAUGUACCGGGGCUAAAACAAUUUACCGAAGCUGUGGAUACCUUUAUAGGUAUGGUAGGAGAGCGUUCUAUGUGUGAUGAAGGUAUACCGUGAGGAGUGCUGGAACGCAUAGAAGUGAGAAUGCCGGUAUGAGUAGCGAAAGACAGGUGAGAAUCCUGUCCACCGUAAGACUAAGGUUUCCAGGGGAAGGCUCGUCCGCCCUGGGUUAGUCGGGACCUAAGGAGAGACCGAAAGGUGUAUCCGAUGGACAACAGGUUGAUAUUCCUGUACUAGAGUAUGUAGUGAUGGAGGGACGCAGUAGGCUAACUAAAGCAGACGAUUGGAAGAGUCUGUCUAAGCAGUGAGGUGUGAAUUGAGUCAAAUGCUUAAUUCUAUAACAUUGAGCUGUGAUGGGGAGCGAAGUUUAGUAGCGAAGUUAGUGACGUCACACUGCCAAGAAAAGCUUCUAGCGUUUAAACAUACUCUACCCGUACCGCAAACCGACACAGGUAGUCGAGGCGAGUAGCCUCAGGUGAGCGAGAGAACUCUCGUUAAGGAACUCGGCAAAAUGACCCCGUAACUUCGGGAGAAGGGGUGCUGACUUAAAGUCAGCCGCAGUGAAUAGGCCCAAGCAACUGUUUAUCAAAAACACAGCUCUCUGCUAAAUCGUAAGAUGAUGUAUAGGGGGUGACGCCUGCCCGGUGCUGGAAGGUUAAGAGGAGUGCUUAGCGUAAGCGAAGGUAUGAAUUGAAGCCCCAGUAAACGGCGGCCGUAACUAUAACGGUCCUAAGGUAGCGAAAUUCCUUGUCGGGUAAGUUCCGACCCGCACGAAAGGCGUAAUGAUUUGGGCACUGUCUCAACGAGAGACUCGGUGAAAUUUUAGUACCUGUGAAGAUGCAGGUUACCCGCGACAGGACGGAAAGACCCCAUGGAGCUUUACUGCAGUUUGAUAUUGAGUGUCUGUACCACAUGUACAGGAUAGGUAGGAGUCUAAGAAAUCGGGACGCCAGUUUCGAAGGAGACGCUGUUGGGAUACUACCCUUGUGUUAUGGCCACUCUAACCCAGAUAGGUGAUCCCUAUCGGAGACAGUGUCUGACGGGCAGUUUGACUGGGGCGGUCGCCUCCUAAAAGGUAACGGAGGCGCCCAAAGGUUCCCUCAGAAUGGUUGGAAAUCAUUCGCAGAGUGUAAAGGUAUAAGGGAGCUUGACUGCGAGAGCUACAACUCGAGCAGGGACGAAAGUCGGGCUUAGUGAUCCGGUGGUUCCGUAUGGAAGGGCCAUCGCUCAACGGAUAAAAGCUACCCUGGGGAUAACAGGCUUAUCUCCCCCAAGAGUUCACAUCGACGGGGAGGUUUGGCACCUCGAUGUCGGCUCGUCGCAUCCUGGGGCUGUAGUCGGUCCCAAGGGUUGGGCUGUUCGCCCAUUAAAGCGGCACGCGAGCUGGGUUCAGAACGUCGUGAGACAGUUCGGUCCCUAUCCGUCGCGGGCGUAGGAAAUUUGAGAGGAUCUGCUCCUAGUACGAGAGGACCAGAGUGGACUUACCGCUGGUGUACCAGUUGUCUUGCCAAAGGCAUCGCUGGGUAGCUAUGUAGGGAAGGGAUAAACGCUGAAAGCAUCUAAGUGUGAAACCCACCUCAAGAUGAGAUUUCCCAUGAUUAUAUAUCAGUAAGAGCCCUGAGAGAUGAUCAGGUAGAUAGGUUAGAAGUGGAAGUGUGGCGACACAUGUAGCGGACUAAUACUAAUAGCUCGAGGACUUAUCCA